rnacentral:rRNA from 1 species
GUGAGGAAUAUUGGUCAAUGGGCGGGAGCCUGAACCAGCCAAGUCGCGUGAAGGAAGAAGGAUCUAUGGUUCGUAAACUUCUUUUGCAGGGGAAUAAAGUGCAGGACGUGUCCUGUUUUGUAUGUACCCUGAGAAUAAGGAUCGGCUAACUCCGUGCCAGCAGCCGCGGUAAUACGGAGGAUCCGAGCGUUAUCCGGAUUUAUUGGGUUUAAAGGGUGCGUAGGUGGUUUGAUAAGUCAGCGGUGAAAGUUUGCAGCUUAACUGUAAAAAUGCCGUUGAAACUGUCGGACUUGAGUGUAAAUGAGGUAGGCGGAAUGCGUGGUGUAGCGGUGAAAUGCAUAGAUAUCACGCAGAACUCCGAUUGCGAAGACAGCUUACUAAGCUACAACUGACACUGAAGCACGAAAGCGUGGGGAUCAAACAGGAUUAGAUACCCCGGUAGUCC